rnacentral:rRNA from 1 species
AUAUUAAUAAGGAGAGGAAAAGAAACUAACUAGGAUUCCCUCAGUAACGGCGAGUGAGCGGGAAGAGCUCAACUUUAAAAUCUGGCGCAAGCUCCGAAUUGUAGUUUAUAGAGGCGUUUUCGGCGACGGCUUCGGUUUAAAUCCUUUGGAACAGGGUAUCAUAGAGGGUGAGAAUCCCGUCUUUGACCGAGGAGAAAAUGUUGCUAUGUGAUACGCUUUCAAAGAGUCGGGUUGUUUGGGACUACAGCCCAAAAUGGGUGGUAAAUUUCAUCUAAAGCUAAAUAUUGAAGCGAGACCGAUAGCGCACAAGUA